GCUCUUCCUGAAGAUGGACUUCAUUUUAAAAAAUGACCUGAGCUGGCACUGAGGAGGACAUCUUCCCCACUGCCCCUGAAUGGCAGAAGAAGAUGGGUGCAGUCAGAUGAAGAUUGAAUCUAAGUAAAUAAAUGGAUGGAGACCAUGGUUUGUAGCUGAUGAAACUAAAUGAGGCCACCUUAGUAAGUGCUCAUUCUAUUUUUGAUAAAUACUUUUAGGAAUUAUAUUAAAAGUUUAAAUGUUGCAACCUGUAUUAAUAUCCCACCACCACCAUCACCAGGUGCCAACACAGAGCAUUCUUGUUAAAUCUUUGAAUAUUUCCAAUAAGAAAAACAAACAACAAAAUUUCUUUUUUCACCAGUCAUCUGCAAAUAAACUUCCACUUCACUCUU